rnacentral:rRNA from 1 species
UACGGAGGGUCCAAGCGUUAUCCGGAUUCACUGGGUUUAAAGGGUGCGUAGGUGGUUCGAUAAGUCAGUGGUGAAAUCCUACAGCUUAACUGUAGAACUGCCAUUGAAACUGUCGGGCUUGAGUAUCGUUAAGGCGAGUGGAAUGUAACAUGUAGCGGUGAAAUGCAUAGAUAUGUUACAGAACACCAAUUGUGAAGACAGCUCGCUGGACGACAACUGACACUGAGGCACGAAAGCGUGGGUAG